rnacentral:lncRNA from 1 species
CCUUUUUUUUUUUUUUUUUUUUUUUUUUUGUAGACCUGAAAAAGAAAAUGUUUAGAGCACAAUGUUUAUUUGCUCACUUUCUGGUUGCUAUUGAAGUAUAUCAAAAUCAUAAAUAGAACCAAUAUUCAUUGUAUUGGGUUUAAAAUAUAUGAAAAAUACAAAUAUAUAACCAUUAGAUUUCAUUUUUAAAAUAUGGGUCAGGUUCAAUGGUUCUUUUUCAGCUUUAUUCCACAUAAAAUGUUUCUUCACUGUGACACUCUUUGUUCUAUUGCCUGGCUUCAACUCACCUAUCGCCUGUUCUUUCAUUGUAAUGAGGGUUCUCUUUUUGUUGUUUCUAAAACAAGGCAAGGGGAUAAUCCCAGGAAAGGAUUCUAGUAGAGAACCAUCAGAGCCCUUAUUAGGUUUUAAACAAAUGGGUUUGAUAAUAUUAACCAAACUUCCAUGAGUCUCACAAAAUGGCUCUCUGGUCAAUAUUCUUUACUUGAUAUUUUAGCUAGGUAUUUGAGGUCUAGAAACAAAUGGUGCUGAAGUUCCAUCUGCUAGCUUAGAGACCUUGUUCUUCAGGAGACUGAAACACAGUAAGCCAUCAUUUUCUUGAUCAUAUUGAUAGUUUUGGUUUUGAACUACAUAUAUGAAGUUUUAAGACAUGUUUUUAGCCAUUGCGGAUUGGCACAGGGAAUAGACAAUAAGACAAUGUGACUCCUUAUGGACCUCAAUCCAAUCUAGAAAUUUAUACAAAAUAACUCUUCUACCUAAGAAAAUGGCAAUGCUGUUGCUGGGUAUAUUUUUUUUUCAGUUUGUGAUUCAUCAUCGCUACAGGGAAGUGUUGAGAGUAGUCCAACAAAAGGAUGGAUUGUAUCUUGUUUGUUGUGUAUUAAAUGGUCCUUAAGCCCAACCUGGGACCCCAGAUUGCUUAAUGAAGAAUAUGAUUACUUCAACAUUGAUUUAUGUUUUAAAACAUAAACCCAGAAUUAGAAAAUCUCUUCUUAUACCCUGUGACUUAGAGUACAAGGCCUUGCUUUUGAGAAGGUUUUCCAUGAACUAGGUUGAUUUCUUCUGCACAAGGUGAGAAACAGUCAAACUUAAAAAAUCCCUGCUCAUUUUAAUGCCAUAAAAGACUGAGGCUAUUACUCUGUCAUAGACUGUAAAUAGCAUUUUUUAAAGCCAGAAUCACAUUUAAAACUGUGGAUUGUUCUACAAAUAUAUAUGUGUAUAUAUACAUAUGCUUCUGAAAUGAGGAUAUAUUAUAUAAAGUUUUUAUUUGCUCUGUGAUCUUUCAUUAGGUAGUCAAAAAUAAAGAGAUUUGAAUGCAAAACUUUAUAUAUAAAUGUAUAUUUCUAAUGAUAGUACUAAUUGUAACUUUAUAAUAAAAAAAGAAACAGGUGGGAGCAAUACUAAAGCACAUGCCAGUGCAGAAGGUUGGUGAUUUUUAAUCCUCUCUCAUGCACUGAUAGCUUUAAAUUCUAUAGUAUUUCUUAGAAGGCUAUAAUUCCCUGUAGAAAUCUCAAGGUGAUGCUGAAAGUCUGGCUGAGGGAGAGUCAAAGGAAGUAAAAGGCUGAUAAGGAUAUUUUGAAGUCCAUAUUUAAAAUCAAGAUUUUAGUCCAAAUAGAAUGAAGAUUGCUAGUGUUCAGGGGUGAUAUACUGAACUUCAUCCACAAAUAAAAGCAGGACAAAGAGAAUACUUAACAUCACAACAGCAUUAAAAUAGUGUGAUAAACAUUGCAUCAUUAGUUUUACUAGUGGAAACAAUGAGCUGAUGCUUCUUGGUCUUUGCUCCAAGCACAAUUUAAUGACAGUAACCUUCAUUUUACUCAAAGUCAUUUAAAAGUAUAAAAUAUAUAACCACAAAUAGAACUGUUACUAGCUCCAUUUCAAGUGUUAUAUAUAAUCUUAGUAAAGAAUGGACACUAAAAUGUUUAAUAAACAUGUUAUAUGAAGAAACAAGCAAAUUCAUAUUUGUUUUUGCAUUAAAGCACAGAUUAUUCAAGUCAUUGGGUUUUUGAGAUCAGUUUUGUAAAAUGUUUAUACACCACCACAUUCGUGAAGUGAAAAGAAAUUAAAAUCUUGAGAUAUUCAUGCAUGUAGAUUACUGGCACUUUAAAAAAAAUUAAACUUCUCUG